rnacentral:misc_RNA from 1 species
UCGAGACUGGCCUAACGUCCCGUGAACCCGUUAUCAUCAUCGGGGGGGAGCACGGGUGCGAGAGCCUCGUGGUCCCCCUCCGCAGUCGGAUCGACGGGGCCUGCGCCCUCGCUCCGUCGGCAAAAUAACGAACCCCGGCGCGGACCGCGCCAAGGAAACUUAACAAGAGAGCGUGCCCUUGCCUCCCCGGAAACGGUGUGUGCGCUUGUAGCAUCGCCUUCUCUCACUAUUU